rnacentral:rRNA from 1 species
AUUGAACGCUGGCGGCAUGCCUUACACAUGCAAGUCGAACGGUAACGGGCCUUCGGGUGCCGACGAGCGGCGAACGGGUGAGUAAUACAUCGGAACGUGCCCGAUCGUGGGGGAUAACGAGGCGAAAGCUUUGCUAAUACCGCAUACGAUCUACGGAUGAAAGCAGGGGACCGCAAGGCCUUGCGCGGACGGAGCGGCCGAUGGCAGAUUAGGUAGUUGGUGGGAUAAAAGCUUACCAAGCCGACGAUCUGUAGCUGGUCUGAGAGGAUGGUCAGCCACACUGGGACUGAGACACGGCCCAGACUCCUACGGGAGGCAGCAGUGGGGAAUUUUGGACAAUGGGCGCAAGCCUGAUCCAGCCAUGCCGCGUGCAGGAUGAAGGCCUUCGGGUUGUAAACUGCUUUUGUACGGAACGAAAAGCCUUCUUUUAAUACAGGAGGGUCAUGACGGUACCGUAAGAAUAAGCACCGGCUAACUACGUG